UACGGAGGGUGCAAGCGUUAUCCGGAUUCACUGGGUUUAAAGGGUGCGUAGGCGGGCAGGUAAGUCCGUGGUGAAAUCUCUGAGCUUAACUCAGAAACUGCCAUGGAUACUAUUUGUCUUGAAUGUUGUGGAGGUAAGCGGAAUAUGUCAUGUAGCGGUGAAAUGCUUAAAUAUGACAUAGAACACCAAUUGCGAAGGCAGCUUACUACACAAAUAUUGACGCUGAGGCACGAAAGCGUGGGGAUCAAACAGG
rnacentral:rRNA from 1 species